CCAGACUCCUACGGGAGGCAGCAGUGGGGGAUAUUGCACAAUGGGGGGAACCCUGAUGCAGCGACGCCGCGUGGGUGAAGAAGCGCCUCGGCGCGUAAAGCCCUGUCAGCAGGGAAGAAAAUGACGGUACCUGACUAAGAAGCCCCGGCUAACUACGUGCCAGCAGCCGCGGUAAUACGUAGGGGGCAAGCGUUAUCCGGAUUUACUGGGUGUAGAGGGCGUGUAGGCGGAAUGCCAAGUCAGCGGUAAAAUCGCGGGGCUCAACCUCGCUCCGCCGUUGAAACUGGCGUUCUUGAGUGGGCGAGAAGUAUGCGGAAUGCGUGGUGUAGCGGUGAAAUGCAUAGAUAUCACGCAGAACCCCGAUUGCGAAGGCAGCAUACCGGUGCACAACUGACGCCCAGGCACGAAAGCGUGGGUAUCGAACAGGAUUAGAUACCCCAGUACU
rnacentral:rRNA from 1 species